GUCUGCAAUGAGAAGAUCAUCAAAACACACCCAGGGAAGACGCUAACAUCCAUAUUUCAGAGGGUGCUGGGAGUCGUUUGAAGCACUUCAGAUGGCAAACAAGGGGAACAAGGGCCAAGAUCUCUCUGUCCUACGCAGCGGUCCGGGACGUUUCACAACACUACUGCCCUGGGAUGUGCAUCAGCCAUGACCCAAUUUUGAUCAUCCUCUCGGGGGCCAAAUGACCAGCCCGUGUAAACAAGAAGACGGAUAAACAACUUAGCAGAGGCCCAAUGGGGACAGAUGCAGACCACUUCCGGGCAGAGGGACAGGGCGUGUGUGAACACGCAGUGGAAUCCUCACUCAGCCCAAGAAGCCUUAACACAGGAAAACAGAUGGCACGUUUUGUGGCUUUGUGCUACAAUGCCCAUGUCUCUAGUGCUAAUCUAUUAAAGUAUGUUUAUUCUGACCUGCUGGUCUUGAGAACUGUUGGGAGGCCCAUGAAAUCACAAAAAACAGGCUUUUCAUAUUUAUUCUACGUGUGGCAGUUGUGUAUAUUAUAUGUUUAUCAUACUCAUGGGGGCCUUUUGCAGCUCUUCCAUUUUUUACAAUUGAAAUGCGGGUU